rnacentral:rRNA from 1 species
GACGAACGCUGGCGGCGUGCCUAACACAUGCAAGUCGAACGGAGAUUUUAGCAAUAAAAUCUUAGUGGCGAACGGGUGAGUAACGCGUAGACAACCUGCCUUCUAGAUGGGGACAACACUGCGAAAGUGGUGCUAAUACCGAAUGUUGUAAUUGGAAUGCAUGUUCUGAUUACUAAAGGUGGCCUCUAUUUAUAAGCUAUCGCUAGAAGAUGGGUCUGCGUCUGAUUAGCUAGUUGGUGAGGUAAUGGCUCACCAAGGCGACGAUCAGUAGCCGGUAUGAGCGGAUGAACGGCCACACUGGGACUGAGACACGGCCCAGACUCCUACGGGAGGAAGCAGUGGGGAAUCUUCCGCAAUGGACGAAAGUCUGACGGAGCAACGCCGCGUGAGUGAAGAAGGUUUUCGGAUCGUAAAACUCUGUUUUCAGGGACGAAUGUGCUGAUUGAAAAUAAUGGUUGGUAAUGACGGUACCUGACAAGAAAGCCACGGCUAACUACGUGCCAGCAGCCGCAGUAACAC